AUUACCAAGGAUUUAUUGGAUCUUC
rnacentral:piRNA from 1 species